AACACGACCGUACCGCAAACCGACACUGGUGCGCGAGAUGAGUAUUCUAAGGCGCUUGAGAGAACUCAGGAGAAGGAACUCGGCAAAUUGACACCGUAACUUCGGAAGAAGGUGUGCCUUUAGUAGGUGAACCUGUACAAGGGGAGCCCAAUGAGGUUGCAAAAAAUCGGUGGCUGCGACUGUUUAAUAAAAACACAGCACUCUGCAAACACGAAAGUGGACGUAUAGGGUGUGACGCCUGCCCGGUGCUGGAAGAUUAAAUGAUGGGGUGCAAGCUCUUGAUUGAAGUCCCAGUAAACGGCGGCCGUAACGAUAACGGUCCUAAGGUAGCGAAAUUCCUUGUCGGGUAAGUUCCGACCUGCACGAAUGGCGUAACGAUGGCCACACUGUCUCCUCCUGAGACUCAGCGAAGUUGAAAUGUUUGUGAUGAUGCAAUCUCCCCGCGGAAAGACGGAAAGACCCCAUGAACCUUUACUGUAGCUUUGUAUUGGACUUUGAACAGAUCUGUGUAGGAUAGGUGGGAGGCUUUGAAGUGUGGUCGCUAGAUCGCAUGGAGCCAACGUUGAAAUACCACCCUGGUGUGUUUGAGGUUCUAACCUAGGCCCGUAAUCCGGGUCGGGGACAGUGCAUGGUAGGCAGUUUGACUGGGGCGGUCUCCUCCCAAAGCGUAACGGAGGAGUUCGAAGGUACGCUAGGUACGGUCGGACAUCGUGCUAAUAGUGCAAUGGCAUAAGCGUGCUUAACUGCGAGACUGACAAGUCGAGCAGAUGCGAAAGCAGGACAUAGUGAUCCGGUGGUUCUGUAUGGAAGGGCCAUCGCUCAACGGAUAAAAGGUACUCUGGGGAUAACAGGCUGAUACCGCCCAAGAGUUCAUAUCGACGGCGGUGUUUGGCACCUCGAUGUCGGCUCAUCUCAUCCUGGGGCUGUAGCCGGUCCCAAGGGUAUGGCUGUUCGCCAUUUAAAGAGGUACGUGAGCUGGGUUUAAAACGUCGUGAGACAGUUUGGUCCCUAUCUUCCGUGGGCGCUGCAGAUUUGAGGAAGCCUGCUCCUAGUACGAGAGGACCGGAGUGGACACACCUCUGGUGUAUCGGUUGUCACGCCAGUGGCAUUGCCGAGUAGCUAUGUGUGGAAGAGAUAACCGCUGAAAGCAUCUAAGCGGGAAACUCGUUUCAAGAUGAGAUCUGCCGGGGCCUUGAGCCCCCUAAAGAGUCGUUCAAGACCAGGACGUUGAUAGGUCGGGUGUGGAAGCGCAGUAAUGCGUUAAGCUAACCGAUACUAAUUGCUCGUGCGGCUUGACCC
rnacentral:rRNA from 1 species